CAAAGGGGAGAGAGGGCCAGGAGGGAGAGGAUUAAGAAUUACCCAAGUUCCAUAAACAUGACCGGAGACAGCCCUUAGGACUGGAAUGUGACAAAAGGAAAGUGCCUGGAGAAAUGCUGUGUCUGCAGGAGGGAGAGGGGAACCAGCCAUAACCGGGCUCUGGGCUGUGAGUUUUACAUACAUUCACUACGCAUGAAAAACCCUGGGAGGACCGAGCAGAAGCCGGACUCUGAAGUCUGAAGUCACACGGCUAAUAGAUGGAGGAGCUGGGAUUUCAUUGUGCGGUUCCCAGGGCCCUUGCUGGCAGGAAGAGGCAUCCAGAUUGCAGAUGUACUUGUUCCUGUUCCUGGCAAGACCCACUUCCCACUGUGACUGACAAGUUUUGGACCCAGUGGCAACGUGGAGUAGAAGAAAGAGCAUGGAUUUUAGAGUGAGACUGGCUCCCCGACUCAUUAGCCUGCAAGUUCCUUAACCUUUCUAAGAUGCAUUUUCCUCCCUUAUUUGUAAAAUGGGGUUUACUAAGAUCUACCCUGAGAAGCUAUCGUAAGGAAUGCCUAAGCUAGUACUGGCACACAGCUGCAGCUCAAUGAAUGGUAGAGAUUUUCCAAACGCAUUGACAUCCUGAUUUGUCAAUCAGUCUUUUGUGAGUUCGUCUUGCAGCCAUGGAGUAGCAACAGAGUCAAGGUAAGUGCCGGUGUCACGGAGAUAUUCCUUCAGAGUCAGAGCGACGGACGCUCAGCAGAGUCUUCCAGAGAAGAUGGGACUUCAAACCGCACAUGCAAGGAUGGUUAGGACCUGGAGAGAAAGGACAUCCUCUCACGCAGCAAUUCCAG
rnacentral:lncRNA from 1 species